AUGUGAUACUAUUUGGGUACUAGAGACUGCAGGGGUUCGUAGAAAUAAAGAUAAAGGGUUGGUGAGGAAUAGAAAAGGGUUGUGUGGUAAAAUAACUCAGGUUGCGCCAUCUCUUAUUAUGCUAAACAAUCAAGACAGAGGUCUUGAGGAUAGUUCUGGAUGUGUGGAAAUAACAAACUGUUGAAUGUACUGCCAGAUGGAUCCUUUGCAAUCGCUAUGGCUAAACUUAAAGGGUUACGAGUAGAGGUUAAGGCAAAUGCUGGGGUUGACUCUCAUGUUUGGGAUUGGUUAGACUUAGCAUUGGGGAAAUGGGGAGCCAUGUUUGCUAGGAUGACCUUUAUGCUGGGAGGGGGGAUAUUGGCUCUGGGUAUUGUAUUUUGUUGUGUUUUACCCUGGGUGAAAUCACUUGUGAUCCAGACAACGGUUAAACAGAUGUUUGUAAGUAGAGCUGACACUCCGGUGAUAGUUGAUUCUGUGCCGGGUAGGCCAGGCCACUAUACUGAUGGGAAUGGACAGUUAUGCAAUGUGGUUGGUGGACCCCCUGACUGCCCUUUUGGUAAUCCAAACUGCCUGUAUGGAGUGGUCUCUGGAGGUGGUUACACUUGCCAGGGUUUUCAUGAGGAUGGUUUACAUGUAGAUGCUGACAUUCCAAAGUCAACUGAUACGUAUCCACAAAAAGGGUAUUUUCCAUAGUAAAUACAGGGGUACUAUGUAUUUCUAUUUUUGCUUUUGGUCUUGUGUUUUUGUAUGUUUUGUUGAAUGUUUUUAUAGGUAUAUCGAUGAAUAUAUCUGGGUUUUCUUUUAAUUAAAAGUUAGUUUUGCCAAAAACAUGAAGGUAACAGUGGGAUAUCCCGGUUAUAAGUGUCUAUGGACCAUGUCCUUAAUCUUUUAACAGAGGUUGGUAUCAUGUUUGUUGGAGAGGUGUUUGAGAGGGAGGAUCAUGUUGAAAGCCUAAAUGUAGAAUGAUGUUGUGUCAAUUUGACUUUGUACCUACAUACUCAUGCUUCAACAGAAUGUUAUGUAUUUAUUUUAUUGUUUGCUUCUAACUAGAUCUUUUACUCUUAUGAAAUACUAGAGAUGUUUGGUCUAAGUUAAUUAGGAAGCUUGAUUUUUGUUAAUCAACUGUUGAUAUUAUGUUCCGGAUAUGUCCUUUUAAGUUUUUUGGUGCUUAUUAAAGCACCAGAGGGAGGUUAUGUGGGAGAAUUAUAUACAUGAUUUGAUAACAAAAGAGAAAAUGUACAUUUAUGGGUUCAUUCCUGUUCUGGUAAAGUGCAUUUUCUAUUGAAUAGGGCAGAAAGCCGAGAAAGACCAUGGGAGUAUGGAACAGCCGGGAACACUAAAGGAAUGCAGACACAUAGACGCCUAGAAAUGACUGGACAUACAAAGAGUGGUGCGUCACCAAGAUGUGUCCCCCCGCCACUGGGGAAGGAGAGAUCGGUUCCGCCUGGAGGUGUCGGGGGGAGGGCAGGGGGCGAAACGGGAGGAGAGGCCACUGCCCAGAAUCGACCCACUAGCCCCCCGAGACUCCUCCCUCCCUCUCUCACUCACUCCUCUACCUUACUUCACAUUGCCCCAGAAAGUUCGGAGACUGUCCCAGUUUGCAGUGUCGGUGGUGAUGGGUGUGGUGUGUGUUGCUUUCUUAAUGCUCCCCCUCCACUCUGAGCCCAACAACUUGGUUCCUAGCUAUGCCCAUGUGACUGUCACACAGAAAUUGGUGUGCGCCUACACACUGGGUCUGCUCACCAUGGUGUUUCUACGGUAACCAGAAGAGGAGAUGAUGUUUCCAUGGAGAUUCAGACCAAGAUCCCCCCCCCCUGUUCAUUCCCCAGACCAAUCUGAUGUGUUCUAGGGGCCAACAGUGCUGAUAUGUCCAACAGGGCUGAUAUGGUCUAGGGACCAACAGGGCUGAUAUGUCCAACAGGGCUGAUAUGGUCUAGGGACCAACAGGGCUGAUAUGUUCUAGGGACCAACAGGGCUGAUAUGUUCUAGGGACCAACAGGGCUGAUAUGUUCUAGGGACCAACAGGGCUGAUAUGUCCAACAGGGCUGAUAUGUUCUAGGGACCAACAGGGCUGAUAUGUUCUAGGGGCCAACAGGGCUGAUAUGUUCUAGGGACCAACAGGGCUGAUAUGUUCUAGGGACCAACAGGGCUGAUAUGUUCUAGGGACCAACAGGGCUGAUAUGUUCUAGGGGCCAACAGGGCUGAUAUGUUCUAGGGACCAACAGGGCUGAUAUGUUCUAGGGACCAACAGGGCUGAUAUGUUCUAGGGACCAACAGGGCUGAUAUGUUCUAGGGGCCAACAAGGCUGAUAUGUUCUAGGGGUCAACAGGGCUAAUAUGUUCUAGGGGUCAACAGGGCUGAUAUGUUCUAGGGGUCAACAGGGCUAAUAUGUUCUAGGGGUCAACAGGGCUGAAAUGUGAAACUGCAUGUAAAGCAUACAUUUAAACAAGUGGUAAACAAACAUAUGUGUACACUAACAUACAUGUAAACAAACCAACAUGUACUGUAAACAAACAUACGUGUACACUGACAUACACACAUGUAAACAAACCAACAUGUACUGUAAACAAACAUACAUGUACACUGACAUACAUAUAUGUAAACAAACCAACAUGUACUGUAAACAAGCAUACAUGUACACUAACAUACAUGUAAACAAACCAACCUGUACUGUAAACAAACAUAAGUGUACACUAACAUACAUGUAAACAAACCAACAUGUACUGUAAACAAACAUACAUGUACACUGACAUACAUACAUGUAAACAAACCAACAUGUACUGUAAACAAACAUACAUGUACACUAACAUACAUGUAAACAAACCAACAUGUACUGUAAACAAACAUACAUGUACACUAACAUACAUGUAAACAAACCAACAUGUACUGUAAACAAACAUACAUGUACACUAACAUACAUGUAAACAAACCAACAUGUACUGUAAACAAACAUACAUGUACACUGACAUACAUACAUGUAAACAAACCAACAUGUACGGUAAACAAACAUACGUGUACACUGACAUACAUACAUGUAAAAAAAAAACAUGUACUGUAAACAAACAUACAUGUACACUGACAUACAUACAUGUAAACAAACCAACAUGUACGGUAAACAAACAUACGUGUACACUGACAUACAUACAUGUAAAAAAAAAACAUGUACUGUAAACAAACAUACAUGUACACUGACAUACAUACAUGUAAACAAACCAACAUGUAACUAACAACUAACUUUCUACUAUUAAACUCGGACAAAACAGAGAUUCUUGUUCUAGGUCCCAAGAAACAAAGAGAUCUUCUGUUGAAUCUGACAAUUAAUCUUAAUGGUUGUACAGUCGUCUCAAAUAAAACUGUGAAGGACCUCGG
ensembl:lncRNA